ACAGAGAGUGCGAACGUUGUUCGGAAUUACUGGGCUUAAAGAGCACGUAGGCGGCAUCGUAAGUGUCAGGUGAAAUCCCACGGCUCACCCGUGGAACUGCCCGGCAGACUGCGAUGCUCGAGUGUGGUAGGGGAGAACGGAACUCCUGGUGGAGCGGUGAAAUGCGUAGAUAUCAGGAGGAACACCGGUGGCGAAGGCGGUUCUCUGGUCCACAACUGACGCUGAGGUGCGAAAGCUAGGGGAGCAAACGGGA
rnacentral:rRNA from 1 species